rnacentral:lncRNA from 1 species
GCAGAUGAAAAUAAAAUGAUAGAAUAGUAGCUGUUUCUUAAACAUAUGCAUAGUUCAUAUUAAUGUGUUGUCAAUUUUCUUUAUUUUGUAUUGCCACAGGAUGAAAUCUUAUACUUCUGUGCCUGGCAAUGAAGUUUUAAUCACCUCAAUAUACAUCGUUCCACAAUAUAUAUUUUUCUGUCUACCAAAGACAUAAUGGCUCCUCCUUUUAUGGGAAACCAGGAUUUAAUCCAUCAAAUAAAUGACAGAAUUGGAGACCAUCCAGUGUCCUGCUCUGUGGAUGAAGUUGGAGUGGUCGGGCUCUCAGAAAGUUACUCCUACGCAUGGCAUUCUGGAUCCACUGACACAGAAGAUAAUUUCUCUGUAUUUUCUUUAAUGAACGACCUAUUAUGAAGAAGCAAGAAAAACCCAUACUGUACAAUUCUUCCACAGAUAAACUGGAGGGACGUCUAUGAGGGUGAGGAUUCCAAAUUUCAGGGAUGGAUCAUGGAAGAACACUCAGGAGGCAAUGACCUCUGGCAUUUGGAAGGCCAAAUAACAGUGGGAUAAGUGGCUUAGACAGAGUUAAGCAAGAGAGAAUGUUCCACCCCACACUGGCGUGGUGCUCUGCUCCACUCCAUUUCACGUCUCCAUGAAGUCAUGUCCCUAAAUCCAGAAAGUUUCCAUCAGAAAUGCUCAGUAUUGCAUGUUUAGUAUAACUCUUACACUCUGACAAAACUUCUGAAGCACAACAAAUUAAUCUGGAAAUUCGGAUCGCUUUCAAUGGUGCUAUACCAGGGAUAUAACAGCAGCUCCACAGAGAGAAGGUGGGAUCGUUGCAUCGAGGGAUUGAUUGCCAUGGAGGAAGACCAGAAAAUGGAUAAAUAACAGAAACAAAAGGAGCAGCAGAGAAGGUGGAAAGAGGAAACAGAAAUGGUGAAGUGAUACCAUAAUGCUCUACUGGCUCAAAAGCAAGGAAAAAUUAUGAAAGCAUUAAUUUAUUCAUUUUCAGCCAAAUGAAAACAAAAACAAAACAAAACAAACUAGUGCGUAAGAAGAGACAGAAAAUAGAGCAGAAAUUAGAACCUGUGAAGAAAACAGGCAGCAAAGGAAGAGGAAAUGAAGAGAAUGGUGAAACAAGUGCUGGAAGUAAAGGAGUGGUGGGGGGGAAAGGCAACACAAAGAGAUCUGAUGCAUGGGGCUUUUAGGUAAGUGAGUUUUAUUUGUGUAUGUCAUUUCCUACUUUUUAUUGCAUUUCUCUGGCAACCGUCCCACAGUUCCAUAACCUAUGGGUGGGUAGGAGGAGGUGGCUGAGAGGGCAAAAUGGUAGUUUUUGGCAGAAUAUUGACAUGACUUGAGUCAGGUCGUUACUUGUGGUUGUCAUUAGA